UACGGGGGGGGCAAGCGUUGUUCGGAAUUACUGGGCGUAAAGGGCUCGUAGGCGGCCAACUAAGUCGGACGUGAAAUCCCCAGGCUCAACCUGGGAACUGCGUCCGAUACUGGAUGGCUUGAAUUCGGGAGAGGGAUGCAGAAUUCCAGGUGUAGCGGUGAAAUUCGUAGAUAUCAGGAGGAACACCGGCGGCGAAAGCGGCUCACUGGCCCGAUACUGACGCUCAUGUGCGAGAGCGUGGGGAGCAAACAGG
rnacentral:rRNA from 1 species